rnacentral:lncRNA from 1 species
UCAUUAGAGAGAUUUUGAUGAAUAUUAUGAGUUUAUAACACUUGAAACAUUUCCUCUCUAAGGAAAGAAGACCACCAACCCGAAAUUGUAACUAGGGAAAUCAACUUGAGUGUGGAAUCGCUCGUGUUGGAUUCAAGCUUGGAAAUGUUGGAUGCUUGGGAGAUCGGGGUCACUCUUGUGCCAACGUAAAAUUUAGGUAUUUGAUGUGUGUGAUGUUAA